AUUAAAGUGACAGAUAAAUGUAAGGAAUUUAAGCUUCCUCUAUGAGUAUAAUUUUAUACCCCUUUAAUA
rnacentral:tRNA from 1 species